GCUCAGUGGGCUGCGGAAUUGAUUGUCUACAUUAUUUGCGGACCUGGCCAAAAAAAAAAAAAAAAAAACCGAGCAGGAAGGGACUUCCUGAAGAAAGACGUCUAAGGGGAAAUUCAUCAGCAUCCGAUGACAUGAUUGUGAGCCACGUACUGUUGAUCUUUCAUUGGCUACAAAUCUGUUUUUAAGCCACGCAUGGUGGCACACGCCGUUAAUCCUAGCCCUCAGAAAGGCAGAGACGGUGGAUUAUGUGAGUGCCAGGCCAGCCUGAUCUACGUAGGGAAUUACAGGACACCCAGGGUUCAAAAACAAAACAAAACCAAAAACAACAAAGAACCCACAAACAAGAACCCUGUCAACCCAGCUAACAUCGCUUAAGGGAGUAAAACGAGGUAACUCCAAAUUCUUGUUUCUGACCCUGUUGUCUCUCUCCGGAGCUGCCAUCUUACUAUGCAAACAUCUGUGUCAGAUGAUGAAUUGUAUGUCUUCUACUCCACGGUUACUGAGUUAACAAUGUGUCUGGCAGAUUGGUCCUGUGGAGAGUCAGUAAUAACGGCUGUAACUGAAGUUCUUGUCUCUAGGUCUCUCCGUGUAGCAGGGAGACGGGGAGACAGCCGUAAUCAAAUGUACAAACCAUGCUAAUAAAUGUGAAAUCCUAAACUGAAAUAAAUUUUCCGAUGUUAGAAAAUUAGAAUUAUAGAGAUUUGUGAAAAAAACGCUAGGGCUGUGGAGAUGGCUCAUCUGAUAAAGUACUUGCUGGGCAAGUGUAAAGAUCAAAGAUAAGAUCCCCAACCCAAGUGAAAUGAUGGUUAGCAUGGCAAUACCAGAGCUAGGGAGGUGACGAUGGCUUCCUCAGGGCAAGCUGGCAACCUACACUAGCCAAUGAGCAAGCUCUGAGUUCCAGAAAGACCCUGCCUCAAUACAUAAAAUAGUGGACUACAGAGAUGGCCCAGAGGUUAAUAGCACUAGCUACUAUUCUAGAGAACCCAGGGUUGGUUCCCAGCACCCACAUGGCAGUCCUCAACUUUAACUCCAGUUCCAGUUACAUAUAUUCAGGCAAAAACCAGUACACUGAACCGGAUGGUGGUGGCACAUGCCUUAAAUCCCAGCACUUGGGAGGCAGAGGCAGAUGGAUUUCUGAGUUCGAGGCCAGCCUAGUCUACAAAGUGAGUUCCAGGACAGCCAGGGUUACACAGAGAAACCCUGUCUAGAAAAACAAACAAAAAACAAAAACAGUACACUGAAAAAUAUAAAUCAUAUAUAUAUUGGAGAAUGAUGAUUUAGGAAUACACCCACAUCCAC
rnacentral:lncRNA from 1 species